UACGGAGGGUGCAAGCGUUAUCCGGAUUCACUGGGUUUAAAGGGUGCGUAGGUGGGCUGGUAAGUCAGUGGUGAAAUCUCCAGGCUUAACUUGGAAACUGCCAUUGAUACUAUCAGUCUUGAAUACUGUGGAGGUCAGCGGAAUAUGUCAUGUAGCGGUGAAAUGCUUAGAUAUGACAUAGAACACCAAUUGCGAAGGCAGCUGGCUACACAAAUAUUGACACUGAGGCACGAAAGCGUGGGGAUCAAACAGG
rnacentral:rRNA from 1 species